rnacentral:rRNA from 1 species
AACGAACGCUGGCGGCAUGCCUAACACAUGCAAGUCGAACGAUACCGUCUGGUCUUUUUGCGCACUGGUUCGUCACGCGUGGGAACCUUCCCUUAUGUGCGGAAUAACUUCCCGAAAGGGGUGCUAAUACCGGAUAAUUUCUUCUGACCAAUGAUUUAUCUGCUUUGGAUGGGCCCGUGUUGGAUUAGCUAUUUGGUAGCGUAAAAGCCUACCAACGCUGCGCUCCCUAGCUGGUCUGAGAGCAUGACCAACAACACUGGGACUGAGACACGGCCCAGACUCCUAGGAGAGGACGAAGUUGGGAAUAAUGAACGCGGGGCGAGAGAAUGAUCAAGCCGGGUCGCGUAAGUGAUGAAGGAGUUAGGAUUGUAAAGGUCUUUUACAAGGGAUGCUAAUGACAGUAACGGGAGAAUAAGCUACGGCUAACUACGUG